UACGUAGGGUGCGAGCGUUAAUCGGAAUUACUGGGCGUAAAGCGUGCGCAGGCGGUUUUGUAAGCCAGAUGUGAAAUCCCCGGGCUUAACCUGGGAAUGGCAUUUGGGACUGCAAGGCUCGAGUGCGGCAGAGGAGACUGGAAUUCCUGGUGUAGCAGUGAAAUGCGUAGAUAUCAGGAGGAACACCAAUUGCGAAGGCAGCUCGCUGGGACGUUACUGACGCUGAGACGCGAAAGCGUGGGGAGCAAACGGG
rnacentral:rRNA from 1 species